rnacentral:rRNA from 1 species
AUUGAACGCUAGCGGGAUGCCUUACACAUGCAAGUCGAACGGCAGCACAGACUUCGGUCUGGUGGCGAGUGGCGAACGGGUGAGUAAAGUAUCGGAACGUGCCCAGUAGAGGGGGAUAACUACGCGAAAGCGUAGCUAAUACCGCAUACGCCCUGAGGGGGAAAGCGGGGGAUCGCAAGACCUCGCGUUAUUGGAGCGGCCGAUAUCGGAUUAGCUAGUUGGUAGGGUAAAGGCCUACCAAGGCGACGAUCCGUAGCUGGUUUGAGAGGACGACCAGCCACACUGGGACUGAGACACGGCCCAGACUCCUACGGGAGGCAGCAGUGGGGAAUUUUGGACAAUGGGGGCAACCCUGAUCCAGCCAUUUCGCGUGUGCGAUGAAGGCCUUCGGGUUGUAAAGCACUUUUGGCAGGGAAGAAAAGGUUUGGGCUAAUACCCUGAGCCGCUGACGGUACCUGCAGAAUAAGCACCGGCUAACUACGUGCCAGCAGCCGCGGUAA